UACGUAGGUGGCAAGCGUUGUCCGGAUUUACUGGGCGUAAAGAGCGCGCAGGCGGUCGUUCAAGUCGCGUGUGAAAGCCCCCGGCUCAACUGGGGAGGGUCACGCGAUACUGAUCGACUCGAAGGCAGGAGAGGGAAGUGGAAUUCCCGGUGUAGUGGUGAAAUGCGUAGAUAUCGGGAGGAACACCAGUGGCGAAGGCGACUUCCUGGCCUGUUCUUGACGCUGAGGAGCGAAAGCGUGGGGAGCGAACAGG
rnacentral:rRNA from 1 species